rnacentral:rRNA from 1 species
GUCCAUGCCGUAAACGAUGUCUACUAGCCGUUGGGGCCUUUGAGGCUUUAGUGGCGCAGCUAACGCGAUAAGUAGACCGCCUGGGGAGUACGGUCGCAAGACUAAAACUCAAAUGAAUUGACGGGGGCCCCGCACAAGCGGUGGAGCAUGUGGUUUAAUUCGAUGCAACGCGAAGAACCUUACCUGGUCUUGACAUAGUAAGAACUUUCCAGAGAUGGAUUGGUGCCUUCGGGAACUUACAUACAGGUGCUGCAUGGCUGUCGU